UACGUAGGGGGCGAGCGUUGUCCGGAUUUAUUGGGCGUAAAGAGCUCGUAGGCGGUUUGGUAAGUUGGAUGUGAAAUCUCCAGGCUCAACUUGGAGGGGUCAUUCGAUACUGCCAUGACUAGAGUUCGGUAGGGGAGUGUGGAAUUCCUGGUGGAGCGGUGAAAUGCGCAGAUAUCAGGAGGAACACCGGUGGCGAAGGCGGAUCUCUGGGCCAUUACUGACGCUGAGGAGCGAAAGCGUGGGGAGCGAACAGG
rnacentral:rRNA from 1 species